UACAGAGGGGGCAAGCGUUGUUCGGAAUUACUGGGCGUAAAGGGCGCGUAGGCGGCCUUCUAAGUCGAACGUGAAAUCCCCGGGCUCAACCCGGGAACUGCGUCCGAUACUGGAAGGCUUGAAUCCGGGAGAGGGAUGUGGAAUUCCAGGUGUAGCGGUGAAAUGCGUAGAUAUCUGGAGGAAUACCGGUGGCGAAGGCGGCAUCCUGGACCGGCAUUGACGCUGAGGAGCGAAAGCCAGGGGAGCAAAGCGGG
rnacentral:rRNA from 1 species